rnacentral:tRNA from 1 species
GCGGACGUGGCGGAAUUGGCAGACGCACUGGCUUCAGGAGCCAGCGAAGAAAACUUCAUGUGGGUUCAACUCCCACCGUCCGCA